ACAGAGCACAACAAAGAUUAAAACGGAAGCGCUUACAUCUUCUUCUCGGGUAGCAAAAUUUGAGAACCUUGAAAUCUAUGUUGCCGAAUUUGCAAAAACCUUCCAAUUCGGAUUCAGAGCUAUUGAAAAAAUUAGAGCUGUAGAACUCUUUUGGAAUUAGUGGCUUUGGAUAAACACUAAUUGUGAGGAAAACGUACCAAAGAAGAUUUGGUGGAGGCCCCUCCAUGCUACAUAAUCUUAUUGGAAGCAAAUCGAGUCAACAGAAGUGGAUUUGCGCAAAGCAUUUCAUUGCCAAUUCUAUGAGUACUUCCUUGUUGUAGGGAAAAUUAUGGGUAUUGGAUAUGUAAGUAGAUUAAUAUCAUGUAUAGAUAUAUAGGCAAUUUCCGAUACUGAUAUUAAUUUGGAAGAAUCAUAACUUAGAUUGCUUACAAUAUAUUUUAAACUUAUGAGCUUUUUGAACUCCAUGUUCUGUUCUGACCAGAAUAUGUUCAAUGUUGAAAUUGAUGAGUUUACUAAGAUUUUAAAGUGUCACGGUCCCAAUUCAAACCAGUGUUAUUAGUUAAAAUAAAUAUCUAAUAACAGUGUCUAUCUA